UGUGUGGGGCUACAAUUGGAACAGAGCUCACUUUGGAGUUACACUGAAUAGCUAUAAAGACAAAGAGAAAGGGUAAAGCCAUGUCAUGGCCCAAUCAGGUACUGCCACAGUCCUUUGGGUUCAGUUUCCAUUUCUCAGGGAAGGGUCAUUUCACAGAGGAACAAAGAAGAGGGUCAAGCUGAGAAGUCCCCAAGGUUCCAGAACUAGGAUGCUUGUGCUAGUUCUGUCUGUUAGAGCUGGUAUGAACCAGCUUAAGUCAGUUCUGUGGUCACCAGCACAGCAGAGGGAUUCAGCAAGUGUACACAGCAAAGGAUCUCUGGACCUGAGAAGACAACAUGCAAAGAGAACCUGAAAAGGAGAGGUGGUGUGUGAUGGUGCUUUAUGUAGCAGCAUGAUGAUGUUGGAGUCAAAACCAAGUUGUACAGCAGAAUGUAAGGUCUGGUACAUUCUACCAUGCUGAAAACACUACAAGAGUGAUCCUGGCAACUGAUUAUCUGUUUCCUGAAAAC